rnacentral:rRNA from 1 species
GCUAGUAAUCGCGGAUCAGAAUGCCGCGGUGAAUACGUUCCCGGGUCUUGUACACACCGCCCGUCACACCAUGGGAGUCAGUAACGCCCGAAGCCGGUGACCCAACCUAUUCUGGAGGGAGCCGUCGAAGGCGGGACGGAUGACUGGGGUGAAGUCGUAACAAGGUAGC